rnacentral:rRNA from 1 species
UACGGAGGGUGCGAGCGUUGUCCGGAAUCACUGGGCGUAAAGCGCACGUAGGCGGCUUUGUAAGUUAGAGGUGAAAGCCCGGGGCUCAACUCCGGAAUUGCCUUUAAGACUGCAUCGCUAGAAUUGUGGAGAGGUAAGUGGAAUUCCGAGUGUAGAGGUGAAAUUCGUAGAUAUUCGGAAGAACACCAGUGGCGAAGGCGACUUACUGGACACAUAUUGACGCUGAGGUGCGAAAGCGUGGGGAGCAAACAGG